UUNAGAGUUUGAUCAUGCUCAGAGUGACCGCUGGCGGUAGNNUACAACAUGCAAGUCGAACGGCAGCACAGUAAGAGCUUGCUCUUAUGGGUGGCGAGUGGCGGACGGGUGAGGAAUACAUCGGAAUCUACUUUUUCGUGGGGGAUAACGUAGGGAAACUUACGCUAAUACCGCAUACGACCUACGGGUGAAAGCAGGGGACCUUCGGACCUUGCGCGAUUGAAUGAGCCGAUGUCGGAUUAGCUAGUUGGCGGGGUAAAGGCCCACCAAGGCGACGAUCCGUAGCUGGUCUGAGAGUAUGAUCAGCCACACUGGAACUGAGACACGGUCCAGACUCCUACGGGAGGCAGCAGUGGGGAAUAUUGGACAAUGGGCGCAAGCCUGAUCCAGCCAUACCGCGUGGGUGAAGAAGGCCUUCGGGUUGUAAAGCCCUUUUGUUGGGAAAGAAAUCCAGCCGGCUAAUACCUGGUUGGGAUGACGGUACCCAAAGAAUAAGCACCGGCUAACUUCGUGCCAGCAGCCGCGGUAAUACGAAGGGUGCAAGCGUUACUCGGAAUUACUGGGCGUAAAGCGUGCGUAGGUGGUUGUUUAAGUCUGUUGUGAAAGCCCUGGGCUCAACCUGGGAACUGCAGUGGAAACUGGACAACUAGAGUGUGGUAGAGGGUAGCGGAAUUCCCGGUGUAGCAGUGAAAUGCGUAGAGAUCGGGAGGAACAUCCAUGGCGAAGGCAGCUACCUGGACCAACACUGACACUGAGGCACGAAAGCGUGGGGAGCAAACAGGAUUAGAUACCCUGGUAGUCCACGCCCUAAACGAUGCGAACUGGAUGUUGGGUGCAAUUUGGCACGCAGUAUCGAAGCUAACGCGUUAAGUUCGCCGCC
rnacentral:rRNA from 1 species